rnacentral:rRNA from 1 species
AACGAACGCUGGCGGCAUGCCUAACACAUGCAAGUCGAACGAGACCUUCGGGUUUAGUGGCGCACGGGUGCGUAACGCGUGGGAACCUGCCCUUAGGUUCGGACUAACUCCCCGAAAGGGGUGCUAAUACCGGAUAAUGUCUUCGGACCAAAGAUUUAUCGCCUUUGGAUGGGUCCGCGUUGGAUUAGCUAGUUGGUAGGGUAAAAGCCUACCAAGGCGCCGUUCCAUAGCUGGUCUGUGAGGAUGAUCAGCCACACUGGGACUGAGACACGGCCCAGACUCCUACGGGAGGCAGCAGUGGGGAAUAUUGGACAAUGGGCGAAAGCCUAAUCCAGCAAUGCCGCGUGAGUGAUGAAGGCCUUAGGGUUGUAAAGCUCUUUUACCCGGGAUGAUAAUGACAGUACCGGGAGAAUAAGCUCCGGCUAACUCCGUG